rnacentral:rRNA from 1 species
GCCUUUGUACUGAGAGACUUGAGUUUUUUAGAAGUCCUUAGAAUGUGUAGUGUAGCGGUGAAAUGCAUACAUAUUACACAGAAUACCGAUUGCGAAGGCCCUUACUAACUAUAUACUGACGCUGAGGGACGAAAGCGUGGGUAGCGAAGAGGAUUACAUACCCUGGUAGUCCACGCCGUAAACGAUGGAUACUAGCUGUUCGACCAACAUUGGUUGGUUGAGUGGCUAAGCGAAAGUGAUAAGUAUCCC